ensembl:snRNA U6 U6 spliceosomal RNA
GUGCUCACUUUGGCAGCACAUAGACUAAAACUGGAAUGAUGCAGAGAAGAUUAACAUGGCCCCGGUGCAAGGAUGACAUGCAAAUUCAUGAAGCAUUCUACAUUUUU